AGUGAACGCUGGCGGUAGGCCUAACACAUGCAAGUCGAACGGCAGCACAGUAAGAGCUUGCUCUUACGGGUGGCGAGUGGCGGACGGGUGAGGAAUGCAUCGGAAUCUACUUUUUCGUGGGGGAUAACGUAGGGAAACUUACGCUAAUACCGCAUACGACCUACGGGUGAAAGCAGGGGAUCUUCGGACCUUGCGCGAUUGAAUGAGCCGAUGUCGGAUUAGCUAGUUGGCGGGGUAAAGGCCCACCAAGGCGACGAUCCGUAGCUGGUCUGAGAGGAUGAUCAGCCACACUGGAACUGAGACACGGUCCAGACUCCCACGGGAGGCAGCAGUGGGGAAUAUUGGACAAUGGGCGCAAGCCUGAUCCAGCCAUACCGCGUGGGUGAAGAAGGCCUUCGGGUUGUAAAGCCCUUUUGUUGGGAAAGAAAAGCAGCAGGUUAAUACCCCGCUGUUCUGACGGUACCCAAAGAAUAAGCACCGGCUAACUUCGUG
rnacentral:rRNA from 1 species